CCACAUCCAGCGACGCUGCCCUCGACGCGACGCACGCGAGGGAACCGGCGGUGAAGGGGAUCUAGCGCUCGAGGGAGCCGAUGCGGCGCGCGCGAGUGAGCCGGCGGCCCAGGGAAUCCAGCCAACGCGAGUCGCGAGGCGCGCGAGAGAUCCACCGCUAGAGGGCCGCCUGCGCGGGAUGCGGCUGAAUCCGACGCCGGUCGAUCCAGCCGCUUCGGGCGAUCUUCCUGCGACAAAGAAAGGUGGGGAUGCUGGUGAUAAUGGCCGACGCCACAUCUACUGGAAACUGCUCCGCUCAGACUUCAAGCAACCAAUUAUACUUCAGUUUCUAAGCGCGCAUUCAUGGCGGGUGAUGUGUCGACCCUUUCCUCUUCCGAGUGGAACGUGUACAUAUGCCUCGGUUCCACGACGGCCGAUAUAACCAUGGUGACAGCACGACAGCGGACUGAGGAGGAUGAGGCAGCAUCACCGGCUCGACGAUGCAGAGUAGGGUAAGGAAGGAGGCAACAUAUGUGCCUCACUUGUGCAAGAGGAUGUGGCGGCAGCAGUAUUAGUCAUUGGUCUAAGUCGACCAGGUUCAGGGCUAGGAUCUGCAUGGUGUGCGUAGCUCCUGCUUGUUGAAUUUGUGGUAUAGUUGUCGUUUUUAUAAGUACCAUUUUAAUCUGCUCAACAGUCACCGGAUGAUUAUUAUAAGACCUCUAUUUUACAAUUCUGCUUCUUUGUAGUAGUAUUACUUGGUGAGCACUUACUUUUUGUGAAAGGAGAAGAGCAAAGCUAAUGAGAAUGCAGAAACCGGCUCAUAUGCUGCAGGAAUCGCAGACCUAAAAACACAAUGUUGUCAUGGGCUUCAUGGAUCUGGAAGUAUUGAUAUUGAUGGUUCCAAGGGAUGAAAAAGUGCUAAUUGUUUUUCUCUGUAUCGUCCGAGCUAAUGCCAACUGAUUGUUGAACAAUGCUUUGAAAAAAACAAUUUAGGGAACUUUUCAUACCCUUUCUAACUGAGUUACUAAUAUGUGAAAACCAAGUGCAACCUCUUAUGAAUCUUGGAAGAAAUGAUAUUCACCGUAUUUGUAUAUUUUCAGAUUUUUGGUUUCGUAAAUAUUUGUUGUUUAAUUGGACAUCCAAUUGUAUGUUUUGUUGUUUACAUUUUUUGUGUAUUCCCUUCUGUUGAAAUGUAAUAUAGAGAAAAUGUAAAAAAUACAUUUAUAUGAGUACAUAUAUCAGUU